rnacentral:piRNA from 1 species
AGAGGCUGAAGUUGGUGGUCUGGGUC